CCUACGGGGGGCAGCAGUGGGGAAUAUUGGACAAUGGGGGGAACCCUGAUCCAGCGACGCCGCGUGAGUGAAGAAGUAUUUCGGUAUGUAAAGCUCUAUCAGCAGGGAAGAAAGAAAUGACGGUACCUGACUAAGAAGCCCCGGCUAACUACGUGCCAGCAGCCGCGGUAAUACGUAGGGGGCAAGCGUUAUCCGGAUUUACUGGGUGUAAAGGGAGCGUAGACGGUUACGCAAGUCUGGAGUGAAAGGCGGGGGCCCAACGCCCGGAGUGGUUUGGAAACUGUAGAACGGGAGUGCAGGGGAGGUAAGUGGAAUUCCUAGUGUAGCGGUGAAAUGUGUAGAUAUUAGGAGGAACACCAGUGGCGAAGGCGGCUUACUGGACUGUAACUGACGUUGAGGCUCGAAAGCGUGGGGAGCAAACAGGAUUAGAUACCCCAGUAGUC
rnacentral:rRNA from 1 species